GCCACUAUAUCGUCCCACUUUCGGCGGCAAUCGAGAGUGCAUAAAAAGGCGUCUCAGUGCUUGAUUCCGGCAUAACACAUUAUUAGUGCAAUUUUAUUCGUCGUCUUCACUUCGUUUAACAAAAACCAACCAAAAAUCAAAAAUGGGCGCAGAAAAAGUAUCCAUGAACAUCGUCGUCGUCGGACAAGUGCAGUCUGCUAAGGCCGCCAAGAUCGUCGCCAAAGCCUCCCCAGCCACCAGCCAAUUGAUGAACUAUUAAUUUAUCAUGUCCAUCAAUCUCAAGCUCAAACAUGCGCCAUAGCCCAAACAGUACAUUGUAAUACAUUGUAUUGACAUUGCAAAAUCAAUAUAUUUUCCGUUUUUUUUAAAAAA